UCUUAUGAAUGAGCAAAAUAGGUGGUUUCUUGAGAUGGAAUCCACUCCUGAUGAAGAUGUUGUGAA
rnacentral:pre_miRNA from 1 species